ensembl:snRNA U2 U2 spliceosomal RNA
CUCGCUUCUCGGCCCUUUGGCUAAGAUCAAGUGUAGUAUCUGUUCUUAAGGGGGUUCUCCUCCCCCCCUAUAUAAGACAGUCUACCAUGAUCCUCU